GCAGGCUCGCGCUUGAAUACAUUAGCAUGGAAUAAUGAAAUAGGACGUUCGAUCCUAUUUUGUUGGUUUCUAGGAUUGACGUAAUGAUUAAUAGGGAUAGUUGGGGGCAUUAGUAUUCAAUUGUCAGAGGUGAAAUUCUUGGAUUUAUUGAAGACUAACUACUGCGAAAGCAUUUGCCAAGGAUGUUUUCAUUAAUCAAGAACGAAAGUUAGGGGAUCGAAGACGAUCAGAUACCGUCGUAGUCUUAACCAUGAACUAUGCCGACUAGGGAUCGGAUGAUGUUAUUUUUAAUGACUCAUUCAGCGCCUUACGGGAAACCAAAGUGUUUGGGUUCCGGGGGGAGUAUGGUCGCAAGGCUGAAACUUAAAGGAAUUGACGGAAGGGCACCACCAGGCGUGGAGCCUGCG
rnacentral:rRNA from 1 species